rnacentral:rRNA from 1 species
CAGUCGAGCGACAGUAUAAGGAGCUUGCUCCUUUGACGUUAGCGGCGGACGGGUGAGUAACACGUGGGUAACCUACCUAUAAGACUGGGAUAACUUCGGGAAACCGGAGCUAAUACCGGAUAACAUUUGGAACCGCAUGGUUCUAAAGUGAAAGAUGGUUUUGCUGUCACUUAUAGAUGGACCCGCGCCGUAUUAGCUAGUUGGUAAGGUAACGGCUUACCAAGGCGACGAUACGUAGCCGACCUGAGAGGGUGAUCGGCCACACUGGAACUGAGACACGGUCCAGACUCCUACGGGAGGCAGCAGUAGGGAAUCUUCCGCAAUGGGCGAAAGCCUGACGGAGCAACGCCGCGUGAGUGAUGAAGGGUUUCGGCUCGUAAAACUCUGUUAUUAGGGAAGAACAAAUGUGUAAGUAACUGUGCACGUCUUGACGGUACCUAGUCAGAAAGCCACGGCUAACUACGUGCCAGCAGCCGCGGUAAUACGUAGGUGGCAAGCGUUAUCCGGAAUUAUUGGGCGUAAAGCGCGCGUAGGCGGUUUCUUAAGUCUGAUGUGAAAGCCCACGGCUCAACCGUGGAGGGUCAUUGGAAACUGGGAAACUUGAGUGCAGAAGAGGAAAGUGGAAUUCCAUGUGUAGCGGUGAAAUGCGCAGAGAUAUGGAGGAACACCAGUGGCGAACGCGACUUUCUGGUCUGUAACUGACGCUGAUGUGCGAAAGCGUGGGGAUCAACACGAUUAGAUACCCUGGUAGUCCACGCCGUAACGAUGA